rnacentral:rRNA from 1 species
UACAGAGACCUCAAGCGUUAUCCGGAAUCAUUGGGCGUAAAGCGUACCGAUCGGUGGUUAAGAAAGUCAGAAGUGAAAUCUCUCAGCUUAACUGGGAGACUGUCUUUUGAAACUUCUUAACUCGAGGGGCAAAGAGGAAGCUGGAACGAACGGUGCGUAGUAGAAAUGCGUUGAUAUCGUUCGGAACACCAAUAGCGAAGG